rnacentral:rRNA from 1 species
CCUGGCGGCCUUAGCGCGGUGGUCCCACCUGACCCCAUGCCGAACUCAGAAGUGAAACGCCGUAGCGCC